UCUCUGGAUUCCAGAAGGCAUGAGGACCCAGAUGCUAUACAGUGGGAAAACCAGCCUGGCAACAUAAGCUCACAAGCUAUCAGAAAGUUGUAUGGCAACCACCUCCGGCGCCAAAUAGAACUGGCAGACAUAGACAUUCAGUACAAGAAGAAAAAGAUGGAAAAUCUUGCACUGGAGUCCGAAAUAAAAAAGAGGACAAUUAGGAAACUGGACCUUGAAAUAAA